UACGUAGGGGCUAGCGUUGCUCGGAAUCACUGGGCGUAAAGCGCACGUAGGCGGAUUGCUAAGUCAGGGGUGAAUCCUGGAGCUCAACUCCAGAACUGCCUUGAUACUGGCGAUCUUGAGUCCGGAGAGGUGAGUGGAACUGCGAGUGUAGAGGUGAAAUUCGUAGAUAUUCGCAAGACACCAGUGGCGAAGGCGGCUCACUGCCCGGUACUGACGCUGAGGUGCGAAAGCGUGGGAGCAACAGG
rnacentral:rRNA from 1 species